rnacentral:rRNA from 1 species
CCUUCGGGGUGCAGCAGUGAGGAAUAUUGGUCAAUGGACGCAAGUCUGAACCAGCCAUGCCGCGUGCAGGAAGACGGCUCUAUGAGUUGUAAACUGCAUUUGUACGAGGGUAAACGCAGAUACGCAUAUCUGUCUGAUAGUAUCGUACGAAUAAGGAUCGGCUAACUCCGUGCCAGCAGCCGCGGUAAUAAGGGGGAUGCAAGCGUUAUCCGGAUUUAUUGGGUUUAAAGGGUUCGUAGGCUGGGAGGUAAGUCAGCGGUGAAAUGCCCCCGCUCAACGGGGUGAAGUGCCAUUGAUACUGCCUUGCUGGAAUGCGGAUGCCGUGGGAGGAAUGUGUGGUGUAGCGGUGAAAUGCAUAGAUAUCACACAGAACACCGAUUGCGAAGGCAUCUCACGAAUCCGCGAUUGACGCUGAUGCACGAAAGCGUGGGUAUCAAAGAGGAUUAGAUACCCGAGUAGUC